AUGACGGUGCAAGACGAGGCAAGCCGAGGGGGGAGGCGUGGAGGGCGACGCGGAGGGCGACGCAAAGCCUCAGCCACAGUCACGUUCCCCCCAGCUGAGUGCUCCCCGUCAUCCCAUGAGGACGUUCCGCUUACUGUACCUUCAGCGCAACUGAAUCCUCAAGAGGCAUUUGAAAAGUUUGUGGAGAGGCUUUCAUCUCUAAAUGCCUCUGGUCCUUCUGCCAAGCCUCAAAGAAGCUCUGCAUCUUCAUGGACUUUUCGGCAGCAGAAAGCCUCAGAGCGCUGGACAGAAGCACGACCAAACCACCUACAAGGCCUCAUUGAAAAGGAGGCUGUUGGUCAUCCCUUGUGUUGCCUCUGCCCCAAGCCGGCUGUUAUUAGGUGCAGAGAGUGUCUCCCUGAAGGGUGGUUCUGUGGGGACUGCGAUGUACUGCAUCACAAAAAACAGCCACUCCACAACAGGGAAUGUCUGAUACGUGGGUUCUUUGAACCCAUUCCUCCAACCACACGCGUCAUGAAAGGGGAGGAUGGAUAUUUCACUCAGGAGCAAGCUUGCAUCUUGCCAACUGUGAGUGUGUCAAACUGCGUCUGCGAUGGCACAACCUUCACUGUGUUAGCAGGCAAACCAGUGAUUUUAAUUAACAUCAAUGGUAAAAACAAUUCACUAUUUAAAUUUAUAUUUGAAGAUGAUUUCCAGAAAUAAAAUCACACAUCAAGAUAUUGGGGGUCUUUCAAAAUGUGUUUUAAGCAUGUUUUUUUUCUUUCUUGCUCUAAGGACGUUAUGACUUGCAUCAGCCACUGUAUGUAUGUCAGACGUGCCAGCAGCAGAUGACCCCUGACAUGAAGCACUUCCUUCAGAGUGGAUAUUGGCCAGCCUCUCUCAAUACUUCCACGUUGUACACGUUGGACCUCUUGAGCUCCUUUCAGGAACUGAAAGUAAUCUCUCCAGAAGUGAUUCUCCAGACAGGCCUUCGCAAAGCUCCUGGAGCAUCGCACCAAGUGUGGAGGACGAGUUAGUAUUAUUGUUCUUGGACAUAUUACAACAUUUCUGUGCAUAAGCAGACAACAUCCCAAAGAUUUUUUUAUUCUAUGUAUCUUCCAGUCUGGACAUAUCAAAGGUGACACCCUGCAGCGCAGCUUCUUGGAGUUUUCAUAUGCUUCGUUUGAGAAGGACCAACUCUGCUGUGGUGCUGUUCUCACCUGCCCAGCCUGCACACCAGAAAUGUUGGCUGUUUCAGUAGAUGGAAACAGAAAGUUAUAUCGCUUUCGCCGAAAUGGAAGGUGCUCCUUGUUCCAGUGUUAUUAUUGAUUGAUUGAUUGAUUGAUUGAUUUAGUUACAUAUUUAAUACAUUUAAUUUCUAUUUGUCUUCCACAGUUCUGGUGACCAUGCCUUUUUUGAAGGUUUAUUUGUGGCUGAAGACAGUGCAGUGUCUGGAUUUGUGGACAUGAUCCAGAAAGCUGUGAAAAAGGCAAGUUUGAAUCGUAAUUUGACAAAAUACUUCUGUUGCUAAAAUAAACAUAUCUAUCCAACAUAGAUUUCCUCCCCAACUGCAACUUCUGCCUGCCAACUAAAAAAUCAAAUUUAGUGAAUACAUGGCAUAUAUAGUGUUUUAUGAUACCAUUGAUUUUAUUUGAUUUAUUUUUGUUUACGUGUCAUAGACACAGGGAAGAGGCACGUGUGGGGACUCCCAAUGGACAGCAGCAUGGGAGACAUCAAGAAGGGCAUCCAAAUUGGAUGAAGAGGGCAUGGAGGUUGCUGUGUGUCGCCAUGGUUUCCUUCUUAAAGCCCUUAACAUGUACAGGGGAGAAAUAUUUGCCUACCCCAUGUACCUUCAAAAGGAGCUGAUGCCAGCCAAGGCACAAUUCUUUGCCAUGGAUGUGGCUUGCAAAUACUGGCCAUACCUGGAGAAAGUUGCCAGUGUCCUUCCUGCUCUCCAGGAGCUGACCACCAUGAAACCUUUCCUCAGCGUCAUGCAUGCUCGAGCUCAUGCUACCAAGUGUGAGGUAUGUUUAUUAUUUUUUAUUAUGGUAUGUAAAUUGUAAUGUUUAUAAUAUUAAAUUGAAGUUAAUGGGUAGACUAUAUUAUGUAUAUGUUUUGUGUUACCAUUCCACUCAACCUUUGCUAACAGAUUAAAUGGAGUGGUAGGAACCAGGAAGGAGCAGGGACAACCGCCGGUGAAGAGGUGGAACAAGUUAACAGCUACCUCUCUCGUUGUGCCCUUACGACAAAAUAUAUGUCGGAAGCAGGUGAACAGAGUGUUUUCCAUUAUGUUGCAUACUUCUUUUCAAAGACUGCAUGCCAUCAACUCAUACUUUGCCUUCAAUAGCCCGGUUGGACAUGCUCACAUUGCAUGCAAUGUUGUGGAACCAGAAGAAAGGGGAUUCCUUACACCAGGCACUUUUUUUGUCCUUUGUUUUUAUCAUUUGAGCUGUUGUUAAUCCUACAGACUUUAUCCUGAUUACUGUGUUACACUGUUUAUCAGACUUGUCAGAGGCUCCUGGAUGAGACUGCAAUGCUAGCAGAGCUAAAAACCC
ensembl:lncRNA